rnacentral:lncRNA from 1 species
AUGCUCAAAAUUCUCCAAGCCAGGAUUCAGCAAUACGUGAACCGUGAACUCCCUGAUGUUCAAGCUGGUAUUAGAAAAGGCAGAGGAACCAGAGAUCAAAUUGCCAACAUCCGCUGGAUCAUGGAAAAAGCAACAGAGUUCCAGAAAAACAUCUGCUUCUGCUUCAUUGACUAUGCCAAAGCCUUUGACUGUGUGGAUCACAGUAAACUGUGGAAAAUUCUGAAAGAGAUGGAAAUACCAGAGCACCUGACCUGCCUCUUGAGAAACCUAUAUGCAGGUCAGGAAGGAAGAGUUAGAACUGGACAUGGAACAACAGACUGGUUCCAAGUAGGAAAAGGAGUACGUCAAGGCUGUAUAUGGUCACCCUGCUUACUUAAUUUCUAUGCAGAGUGCAUCAUAAGAAACGCUGGGCUGGAGGAAGCACAAGCUGGAAUCAAGAUUGCCGGGAGAACUAUCAAUAACCUCAGAUAUGCAGAUGAUACUACCCUUAUGGCAGAAAGUGAAGAGGAACUAAAGAGCCUCUUGAUAAAAGUGAAAGAGGAGAGUGAAAAAGUUGGCUUAAAGCUCAACAUUCAGAAAACGAAGAUCAUGGCAUCUGGUCCCAUCACUUCAUGGGAACUAGAUGGGGAAACAGUGGAAACAGUGUCAGACUUUUUUUGGAGGGGCUCCAAAAUCACUGCAGAUGGUGAUGGCAGCCAUGAAAUUAAAAGACGCUUACUCCUUGGAAGGAAAGUUAUGACCAAUCUAGAUAACAUAUUCAAAAGCAGAGACAUUACUUUGCCAACAAAGGUCCAUCUAGUCAAGGCUAUGGUUUUUCCUGUGGUCAUGUAUGGAUGUGAGAGUUGGACUGUGAAGAAGACUGAGUGCCAAAGAAUUGAUGCUUUUGAACUGUGGUGUUGGGGAAGACUCCUGAGAGUCCCUUGGACUGCAAGGAAACCCAAACAGUCCAUUCUGAAGGAGAUCAGUCCUGGGUGUUCUUUGGAAGGAAUGAUGCUGAAGCUGAAACUCCAGUACUUUGGCCACCUCAUGGGAAGAGUUGACUCAUUGGAAAAGACUCUGAUGCUGGGAGGGGUUGGGGGCAGGAGAAGGGGAUGA